GACGAACGCUGGCGGCGUGCUUAACACAUGCAAGUCGAACGGAAAGGCCCUGCUUUUGUGGGGUGCUCGAGUGGCGAACGGGUGAGUAACACGUGAGUAACCUGCCCUUGACUUUGGGAUAACUUCAGGAAACUGGGGCUAAUACCGGAUAGGAGCUCCUGCUGCAUGGUGGGGGUUGGAAAGUUUCGGCGGUUGGGGAUGGACUCGCGGCUUAUCAGCUUGUUGGUGGGGUAGUGGCUUACCAAGGCUUUGACGGGUAGCCGGCCUGAGAGGGUGACCGGCCACAUUGGGACUGAGAUACGGCCCAGACUCCUACGGGAGGCAGCAGUGGGGAAUACUGCACAAUGGGCGGAAGCGUGAUGCAGCAACGCCGCGUGCGGGAUGACGGCCUUCGGGUUGUAAACCGCUUUCGCCUGUGACGAAGCGUGAGUGACGGUAAUGGGUAAAGAAGCACCGGCUAACUACGUG
rnacentral:rRNA from 1 species